GAUGAACGCUGGCGGCGUGCCUAAUACAUGCAAGUCGAGCGAACAGACGAGGAGCUUGCUCCUCUGACGUUAGCGGCGGACGGGUGAGUAACACGUGGAUAACCUACCUAUAAGACUGGGAUAACUUCGGGAAACCGGAGCUAAUACCGGAUAAUAUAUUGAACCGCAUGGUUCAAUAGUGAAAGACGGUUUUGCUGUCACUUAUAGAUGGAUCCGCGCCGCAUUAGCUAGUUGGUAAGGUAACGGCUUACCAAGGCGACGAUGCGUAGCCGACCUGAGAGGGUGAUCGGCCACACUGGAAAUGAGACACGGUCCAGACUCCUACGGGAGGCAGCAGUAGGGAAUCUUCCGCAAUGGGCGAAAGCCUGACGGAGCAACGCCGCGUGAGUGAUGAAGGUCUUCGGAUCGUAAAACUCUGUUAUUAGGGAAGAACAAAUGUGUAAGUAACUACGCACGUCUUGACGGUACCUAAUCAGAAAGCCACGGCUAACUACGUG
rnacentral:rRNA from 1 species